CUGAUUCAUGACAUGCCUAGUAUCCAAGUGUUUGGAGAGAAAAGUGAAACGAGCAAGCCUGUCGAUGGUGAUGAUGAAGAUGGCAAUGAAGAUGGGGACGGAGAAGAGGACGGUGCUGUCGGGGAGGGUGACGAAGAACCAUCUGAGGAUGACGGGGAGGGAUACGAGAACCCCAAUAAUAACAGUGGCAAGAAAGCCCCUGGCGACGGUGCUGGUGGUGAAGAAAACGGAGAGGAUGAUGAUGAAGAGGCCGAGGAUCCAGAGGACGGGGAUGACGACGACGAUGAUGAAGAAGAUGAGGAUGACGAUGAUGGUGGAGAGGACGAGGACGAGGGUGUGGAAGACGACGAGGAGAACGAGGAUGAAGAGGAAGACGACGAGGAAGAGGAGCUUCAACCUCCUAAGAAGAGGAAGAAGUGAGCGUGGUCGAAGUCGGGCUCGGUUUUAGUUGUAGCUUCUCUUGCUCUUUCGCAGUUCAGUCCGUUCGACCUCGCCGUGUGCCCUAACCCUGGUUUCAUUUCAGGAUUCAUAACGACAGACCGUUGUGGUGUUGGCCUAUGUAGGAGUACUAUUUCCUAAUGCAUCAGAGAGAACUUUGUCAAAUUUUGAUUUGUCUCUCUCAGUUAUUUAAGCUAACAAACUCUAAACUAUGCUGCUUCAAUUUGGUAUCAGAUUUUAACAAUGUAGUCAAAUGCAGCUCACUUUUCCCUCCUUGUUUGGGUCCAUAUGCAUGCAUGUCUCUUAUCUAAACUUUUAUGUGGUUGAAAUCUGGUGCUUGUGGCAACAGGUGAAACACAGCUUGAAGAUGAG
rnacentral:lncRNA from 1 species